GACGAACGCUGGCGGCGUGCUUAACACAUGCAAGUCGAACGAAGAGGCGAGGACUUUCACUCGUGGAUCAGAGGCGCACGGGUGAGUAACACAUGAGUAACCUCCCCCUCACACACGGAUAAACCCUCGGGACAGUGUCUCAUACUGGGUACGACCUACUCAUGCACGUGGUUUUAUAGGGAAAGAUGAGCGGUCUUGGAUGGAUUGUAGGCUUAGCACCUUGUUGGCCGGUUAAUGGCGGACCAAGGCACCGACGGGUAGCCGGCCUGAGAGGGUGACCGGCCACAAUGCGACUGAGAGACGGCGCAGACGCCUACGGGACGCAGCAGUGGAGAGUAUUGCACAAUGGCGGAAAGCCUGAUGCAGCGACGCCGCGUGAGGGAUGACGGCCUUCGGGUGGUAAACCACUGUCAGAGGGGAUGAAGAGAUAGUGACGGUACCUGCACAGGAAGCCACGGCUAACUACGUG
rnacentral:rRNA from 1 species